AAGCCCAUCAGCAGAUCCAUUUAGAGAUCUAGGAAUGUAGAUGAAACGACAAAAGAGAAAAGAUGAGGAAGAUGAGAACGCGAGAUCGUCGAUAUCGACGAGAACUCCAAAGAGCUCCGUUGAUCGUCGGCGAGAGUUGAUCGUGUUAACGAACACUUGAGAAUCUGAUUUGAGACACAUGUGAUGGUAGUUAUGUGACGCCACUUGCAGGAGGGCUUCUCGGAUUGCCAGAGCUUCAGCCAUGCAAGGAGAUGAUACUGAUGUUUGAGCGCAGGAUCCACAGAAGGUCUCUCGAUUGGCGGCAUCUGUGAAUAUCCAGGCGAGACCCGCGACACGGUCUCCACCCUUCCAUGAGGCAUCGGUGUGGCAGGUGAUUUCCGACGGGUCUGCGGCGGUUCGGUGAUUGAUUUGGGAGGUCCGUUGAAUCUGUAGCAUCUUUAGUGGUUGUGCCGCCUCCCACUCCUUCUGAAGAUUUAAAGCUCUCGUGAAUACAUCGGUAGCUGAGUUGUAUCGGUUUUCAAACAUGAGUUGAUUGCGUGAGGUCCAGAGUGUCCAGCAAAUCCAAGGGAAAGGGUUCCCGAUAGCACCAAACGGAGGCAGAGGCGAACUGACGAUCGACGCUUGAAGCUUUUCGAAAAAUAUGUAAGUGAGGAUGUAUCAAGUGUGUUCUCCCACGGUCCCAAGCUCCAAACUUCACCUGCAAAAGGGCAUUGGAAUAAGAUAUGCUCGAUGGAUUCAGAGUCUCCACACCGUCUGCAGUGUGUUUGCGAGAGCAUUCCCCGUACUCGUAGGUUAGCUCCUGUUGGGAGAGCAUUUGUACCCACUUUCCAAAGGAACAACUUCAGUUUAGGCAAUAAUGGUGGGCUCCAGAUUAAUUUAUUCUAAGGUGUAUUCCCCCGACUUCUGUAGUGGUCAGACAAAAGCAUCAUGUGUUCCAAGAAGACUCGGCCUCAGAACUAGGAUGUGCUCCUUCAGCUCAGGGCCGAACGGCUUUAGGUUCUCUUCCAGGUUUAUCCAGGAGUCAAGCCAUACAAAGGUAGUUUCUCUGUCUCCUACAGCUUUCGCUAGGUGAGUUAUCAGUAGAUUUCUUCCUGCUAGGAUACCCUCCAUCCAUGUGAGAUGUUGCUAGCAGCUAGAAGUCUAGAACUAGAGUUUUUCCCCCUAUAAACUAUACGAUAUUCCAAUACUAUCAGCUUCAAAUACAUUGCCCUUAACUUUUUUUUUGAACUUUUACGUUGCCCUAACUUGGGGAACUAAUGACGCUUAACGUCCAGUGGAUACAUUUUCCACUUACACCUAGAAAUAAUAUAUAUCAGUGAUUUUUUUUUCGCAAUGUAUAGCUCAAAUGAUUACUGAAACACGUUAGUUUUAAUUUUAUACAAAAGGGAAAACAUUUUCUCUUUGAUUAUGUGUGAAAGUGAAAGCAAUGGCUGUAAAAAAGUAUUAGAAGCUAUAUAACUUUUAGCAACUUUUACCCGAGAGAACAAUAAUAAAAAUAUAGGAGUAUGUAUUUGUUUUGGACAGCUGAAUGACUAUGACGACUCAUUAUGACGAAUCCUAGUCUACUGUCCAAAUAAAAGAAUUAUGAACGUUUAUUUGUUUUGUAUUGUUGUCUGCACUUAUUAGUCCACUGUCCAAAUAGCUCUUUAUUUCAAAUUUCAUACACACAUAGAAGUAUGAUAUCUAUUGCGUGUGUAUAUAUAUACUCUGCAAGUACGAAUUGACCCAAAACUCUACGCAUUCACAUUUGUUUUGUCUGAUUAUCGCUUGGUAUUACCAAAAUCUACAUUUUGUCUCCAAACAAUUGUUUUAUCUGAUAAAUUGAUAAUCGUCAAGAUCGCUGGUGUACCGAACGACAAUGGCCCGGCCCAUUAAUUUUAAUAAAUAUAAUCUGGAACAGCUUCAAUCAUUUUUUUUUUUUGAACUUUUUUUUUUGUUUAUCGUGAAAUACUUUUCAUAAAUAAUAUAGGUUUUGGAAUUCUGUUGGUAAAGGUAGGAAGCUCAAAAACUCCUUAAAUAAGUGACUUAGGGGAUUAGUGGAAUUUGUCGAAAAUGGGGGAUUAGUGGGAUCUUUUUAUUUAGUUGAGAGUUUUGUUAAAUUCUAACAUUUUGUUGAAUUAAUAUAAAGACUUUUACUAAAUAUAAAGAGAAUUUUGUGUAUCCAAAGAAUUAUUAUAAGAUAUUUAAAAGAAAAUUAGAAUCUAUAAAUAAAAAACAGUUGAUUUUAAUUAAAAAAUGUUACAAUCCACAAAAAUAACAAUAGGAUUUAAAACCUUUAACAAUCAUUUUAAAACAUUCUAUUUAUAACCUCUUACGAUAACUAAGCCGAAAGAUAUA